rnacentral:rRNA from 1 species
CAGUCGCCGCGGUAAUACGUAGGUGGCAAGCGUUGUCCGGAAUUAUUGGGCGUAAAGGGCUCGCAGGCGGUUUCUUAAGUCUGAUGUGAAAGCCCCCGGCUCAACCGGGGAGGGUCAUUGGAAACUGGGAAACUUGAGUGCAGAAGAGGAGAGUGGAAUUCCACGUGUAGCGGUGAAAUGCGUAGAGAUGUGGAGGAACACCAGUGGCGAGGGCGACUCUCUGGUCUGUAACUGACGCUGAGGAGCGAAAGCGUGGGGAGCGAACAGGAUUAGAUACCCCCGUAGUCCCUGUCUCUUAUAC